rnacentral:rRNA from 1 species
UGCGUAGGCGGAAUGAUAAGUUAGUGGUGAAAGCCCCCGGCUCAACCGGGGAACUGCCAUUAAUACUGUCAUUCUUGAGUAUAGUUGAAGUGGGCGGAAUGUAUCAUGUAGCGGUGAAAUGCUUAGAUAUGAUACAGAACACCGAUAGCGUAGGCAGCUUGCUAAACUAUAACUGACGCUCAGGCACGAAAGCGUGGGGAGCAAACAGGAUUAGAUACCCUGGUAGUCU